AUGGUUCUGGUCUUUCAUAUCUGCUUGUUGCUUAGCUUGACGUUAUUUCUGCUUUUUGUUCUCCUUCCUUUCUGUAUAACGUGGUCCUGCCUAAGUUCAUGCUCCUUUAUCCUGCAUGGCCCUGGGGAGAGAUUCCAGGAGCGGGCCCUCCCCUUGGAUCACCACAUCAGCGCGAGGUUCUCCCUGGCAUCCUUGACCUGCAUUCCUGAUUCUGGCUUGGCCACCAGGAAUGCAGCCAAUGUCUAUCUGGUGUUGUCAGUUGACUAUUCUGAAAAUAAACCAAUCGCUUCCUAUGCCAGCUCCUCUGAACCAGGGGUGCGGUAGGGGGACAAAAUGAAUUCGUCGAACAAGCAAAAUGUAUCAAGUACCUGCUACAUGCAAGACGCCGAGUAGGCCUCAUUAAAGGGGAUCAGAGCACACUAGACAAUGGACAUGCUAUGGGAGAGGAUUAAAAUUAGUAAACUGGUUGGAGGUGAAAUGCUUCACACUCUGAAUGUUUUACCAUCGACCUCUUGGAGGAAUCAGCUUAUUUUGUCCAUAUAUGGUGAACACCCCAUAAACCUCUCUGACUCCUGGGAAAGCUAUUUGUCAGGGUGCACCAAGAGUGAGAGAGUGUGCCCUUUGACCCGUCUGCCCUAAGCUUUAGUGCAAAGGGAGGAAAACUUGCCCAAAGAUAACCACGGCAGUGUCAGUUUUAGUGGUACCUGAGUUAUGCGCACAUCAACUUGUCUCUUUUUACGGCUUUGGUGAUAAACAAAAUUAUUACUAGUUGUAAAUAUUUCAAAUAAUGUAGCAGAGACGGCAAAGUCUCAUCCGGGUCAGAAAAUGGACACCCAUCCCCUUCUUAAUUGCUGUCUGGUGGAUCUCUGCCACGCACGUUCUCGCAUCUGUUAAGUCGCUUCCCUGUGUGCUGGGCACUGAAAUUUUCCCGAUAUUUUUUGGUUGUAAACAACGUAAAAGGAACACCCCCAGGUGUGUCCUUUGGUAGCUGUGCUGCUAUUCUGUAGAACUGAUUUUCAGAAGUAAGACUUCUGCAUAAAAGUAUAAGCACAUUUAAAUGUUUGAUUUUGCCGAAUUGCCCUCCAUAAUGGUAAAUGGUCCGAGCAUACGAUUUCAGUGUGUUGGGGGGGAGGGGUUCCCCACCCCACAAGCAAUUCUUGGACACCAGCUGGGUGUCCUACCAUUCAACUCAAUUCUGACACUUUCUACUCGGAGAUAAUGUCAGACCCCACAGGUUAAGGACUUGGUCCCACAAGACUGACCCCCUCCUCGACUUUGGACAACACUCGCAAGUCCAGGUUGUCACCUGUGCUUCUGACCAGUGGGCCAAAGAUGGGAGAUUCCAACGACCCCCUGCUUGUGUUCAAUUAAUUUAACAGAGCAGCUCACAGAACUCAGAGAGACAUUUUACUUACUACCUUACGGGCUUAUUGUAAAAGAAUGUAACCCAGGAACAGCCAGAUGGAAGAGAUGCAUAGGGCAAGGGGUGGGGAAAAGCGUGGAGCUUCCACGUCCUCUCCCAGAGCACCACCCUCCCCACAUCUCCCUGUGGUCACCACCCUGGGAUCUCUCCUCAGUCCGUCCUUGUGGGUUUUUAUGGCGGCUCCAUUAUGUAGGCAUGAUUGAUUAAAUCAUUGGCCGUUGGAGAUUGAUUGAACCCCCAGCCCCUCUCCCCUCCCUGGAGGUCUGGAAGAUGGGACUGAAAGGUCCAACCUUCUAAUCUCAAGGUUGGUUCCCCUGGCAACCAGCCCCAUCCUUAGGUGUUUUCCAAGUCAUCUUGGUAACAAAAACUCAGGUGUUGUUGAAAGGGGCUUGUUCUGAACAUCAAGACACCUUCAUGCUCUUAUCACAUAGGAAAUUCCGAGUUUUAGGAGCUCUGUACCAGAAAUGGGAGGAAGAUCAAAUAAUGUAUUUCUUAUGGUACAUCACAGCGUCACGAAUGGUUAUACCGAUUUAUGCACCCACUCUUAGGAAACAAGAGUGCCCUCCCAGACAUGUUCCCCAAAACAAGAUAGACUUCAUUCUGUUCAUAUUUUCCAAUCUAAUAAAAGAAAAGUCUCUUGUUUUAACUUGCA
rnacentral:lncRNA from 1 species